AUAGAGUACAAUGUGGAGCAUUCAGUGGACUAUGUGGAGAGGGCCGUGUCAGACACUAAGAAGGCUGUUAAAUACCAGAGUAAAGCCCGGCGGAAGAAAAUUCUGAUCAUUAUUUGCUGUGUAAUUCUGGGAAUCGUCAUUGCUUCUACAAUUGGAGGAUACUUAGGUAUAGCCUGAGACACACACCGAAGGUCAUGUCAGGAGCCACACACACACACACACAUACAGGUCUACAAGUGG